rnacentral:rRNA from 1 species
GAGCGAACGGACGAGAAGCUUGCUUCUCUGAUGUUAGCGGCGGACGGGUGAGUAACACGUGGAUAACCUACCUAUAAGACUGGGAUAACUUCGGGAAACCGGAGCUAAUACCGGAUAAUAUUUUGAACCGCAUGGUUCAAAAGUGAAAGACGGUCUUGCUGUCACUUAUAGAUGGAUCCGCGCUGCAUUAGCUAGUUGGUAAGGUAACGGCUUACCAAGGCAACGAUGCAUAGCCGACCUGAGAGGGUGAUCGGCCACACUGGAACUGAGACACGGUCCAGACUCCUACGGGAGGCAGCAGUAGGGAAUCUUCCGCAAUGGGCGAAAGCCUGACGGAGCAACGCCGCGUGAGUGAUGAAGGUCUUCGGAUCGUAAAACUCUGUUAUUAGGGAAGAACAUAUGUGUAAGUAACUGUGCACAUCUUGACGGUACCUAAUCAGAAAGCCACGGCUAACUACGUGCCAGCAGCCGCGGUAAUACGUAGGUGGCAAGCGUUAUCCGGAAUUAUUGGGCGUAAAGCGCGCGUAGGCGGUUUUUUAAGUCUGAUGUGAAAGCCCACGGCUCAACCGUGGAGGGUCAUUGGAAACUGGAAAACUUGAGUGCAGAAGAGGAAAGUGGAAUUCCAUGUGUAGCGGUGAAAUGCGCAGAGAUAUGGAGGAACACCAGUGGCGAAGGCGACUUUCUGGUCUGUAACUGACGCUGAUGUGCGAAAGCGUGGGGAUCAAACAGGAUUA